CGGGACGCUUCGCCUGUGACGAAGCUGGUUUCUGUUCGGAGUGUGUUUCCAUUCUUCUGCUCCGAGUGUUGAGAGGAAGCACGAAUGGGAAUCAAACCCACUCCCCUGUCUUCUGGGGGCGACGUCAGAAUCAGCAGCAGAGAUCCUGCAACAACGGAACGCUGCUUCAUUUCUAGAAGACACACGUGGACCACAAAGUCAUGAAGCAACUCUGGACCUUUAUUUGGAGGAUUAUCCAUCUGAGUCCUGCAUUUUAUGAGCAAGUCUUCGCUGUCUUUAGAAGUGGUGGCCAAAGGACACUCCACCUACUUUUGACUCCUCGUCUCAUGUUGCUCGGUGGAAAAGUGCCUUUGACAGCUGGACACUGGAUGAUCAGCCUUGAGGAUCGUAUGUGGGGGGGGGGGUCCACUCAACGUUUGUGACAGGGCUUUCUGCUCUGUUUACAGAUUGAACAUCUUUAACUGGGAAGCUGUCUGUACAAGAUGCUUCUUUUGAAUCAACCCAGAAAGAGGAACAAAAGCCGUUUGGGGGAAUCGUCUCCAAGAGGACAGGGAGAGUCGUUCAGAGUGGAUCUCCAUAGGUCAGUGAGAGCUCUCUCCCCAGACACUUCACAUCAAUGCAACCAUGGUUCUUUGUCAGUGUUUGUCACGUGAUCAUAUUCUUGUUCUCCUGUCCACUAAAUGUGAAUCAUUUCACUUCACAAAUGUCUUUUUCCUGGAAAGAGUCACAGGUUUGACCAAAYAGGUUUUUCCUUGCUGCUCUUACAGGUCAAAUCCACAUUUGUUUAUUCUCUGGGACAAUAAUGAACAUUUGAACUUUCACAGACGUGUUCAACUUUUCUACACAUUGAAUCACAAAGAGACAGAAAUCCAAGAGAGUAUCAGGGACUUUAUUCAAAACUCAAGUACAAAAGGAAUGAAACAGCAAAGCAGCUUCAUUUAACAUUCAUUUAUAAAAACCCAACACGUCAACGUUCACUUUCUACACUGUAAAAAUCAAAACUUGGAAUUGCGUCACUGCGAUUUCUAAAAAUAUAACGAACAAAGAAAAUUUAAUGGAUUUGUAAACGUAGUAAAAGUAUUUUCUUCAAAUAACUUUACUUAAGUUAUAAAUUUGUAAAGUUGCUGAAUUUAUGACGGCAAAACACAAAAUAGUAAGUUUGUGAUGUGACACCUCUCACGUCUCAUCAGGGGAAACGUGGCCUCACGUCAUGAAGCUGAGUGUUCAGGUUGAAUACAGGACAGAGAUUCUGGMUCUGCAGUUGCAUAUGUUGGCGGCUGUGGCUCAGGAGGUAGAGCGGAUCGUCCACAGACA